rnacentral:rRNA from 1 species
GACGAACGCUGGCGGCGUGCUUAACACAUGCAAGUCGAACGGAAAGGCUCCAGCUUGCUGGAGUACUCGAGUGGCGAACGGGUGAGUAACACGUGGGUGAUCUGCCCUGCACUUCGGGAUAAGCCUGGGAAACUGGGUCUAAUACCGGAUAGGACCGCACUUUGGUGUGUGUGGUGGAAAGGUUUUUCUGGUGUGGGAUGAGCUCGCGGCCUAUCAGUUUGUUGGUGGGGUAAUGGCCUACCAAGACGGCGACGGGUAGCCGGCCUGAGAGGGUGGACGGUCACAUUGGGACUGAGAGACGGCCCAGACUCCUACGGGAGGCAGCAGGGGGGAAUAUUGCACAAUGGGGGAAACCCGGAUGCAGCGACGCCGCGUGGGGGAUGAAGGCCUUCGGGUUGUAAACUCCGUUCGCUAGGGACGAAGCUUUUUGUGACGGUACCUGGAGAAGAAGCACCGGCUAACUACGUG